GAGCUGAAUCCCCAAGCCCUUAAUUUUAAAUUUUAUUAUCAACUAUUUAUAUAUAGGAAAGCAAUGCAUUCUUAUAUAUUAACCUUAUAUCCUGAAACUGUUCUGUAGUUGCUUACAGUGUGAGAAGAGUUUUCUUUGAUUCUUUCGCAUUUCCUAAGAAAACCACCAUACUAUAAUUUAUUUUGCAAUUCUCAUGCCGUUUCCCUUUUUCUUAUUGUAUCAAGCUGGAAUCCCAGUACAAUAAUGAAAGGAACACUAACAACCUAGUUUCUGAAAAUGUUCUUUUUUUUUAAAUAUGUAAAUUUCAUUUCUAUUCUGAACCUGUUGAAGUAGAGACAUUUCCCCUUAUUACAUGCCUGCUAUGUUUUCAGUACUUUUAAAUGUAUCAAAACAGAGUUACACCCUCAAUUUAUAGCUGAAGAAACUGGGCGCGAAGAAAUGACCUUGUUCAAUGACAAAAGCUCAUCCGUGGGUCAGGAAGGCUCCCACCAAGCUCUCCAAGCCUUGACCACUUCUCUAUCUGAAUACAGAAGUGUGAGACUUAAUCCUCCAGGUAGGCCAUUGUCUUGUUUUAGUGAGCGACUUUUGACGCGAUCAUCACUGCAGCUUUCUGGAGCUGCAAGCUGUCACCCACAUUAUAGAACAACAGGAGUCAUCAUUGACCCUCUCCAGGUGCAAUCUCCCAGCUGAUACACAACUGCUGGACUCAGCAGGUCUCUUCCUCUCAAGUCCAGGGUCUCAUGUAGCCCAGGCUGGCCGAGUGUCAGGAUUAUAGGCUCGUGUCACCACAUCCAGCAUUUCAAAACAUGGCUCCACGGGUACAGAAUAUUUGUAGUAGAGAAGAUAAUAUCU
rnacentral:sRNA from 1 species